UUUAUCACCAAGACUUCUUCGUAAGAAUACACAUCUGCCAAACACGUGUAUGACAUAUCGAAAUCUGAUGUGGUGGCAUUCAUUAUUAUGAGAGAGGAACCAUCCUUUACUUCUAUUCCAGUGUAUUUGUCUGUAUAAAAGGAGAGGCCUUGAUGAAGAAUAACAUCACUUUGUUUCAUCCACGUGGUUUUCUGUAAGCCUACUGCGGAUGUAUUGCAGAACAGUGUCACAUUACUUCCAGAAAUACAUGUACCAGGAAUGGCUUCUAUUGUCCAAUAAA
rnacentral:lncRNA from 1 species